UGAGGCCACACCUGGAGUACUGUGUCAGUUCUGGGCCCCUCAGUUCAGGAAGGAUAUUGAGAUCCUGGAGCAGGUCCAGAGAAGAGCAACGAGGCUGGUGAAGGGACUGGAGCACAAGUCUGAUGAGGAGAGGCUGAGGGAGCUGGGGUUGUUUAGCCUGGAGAAGAGGAGGCUCAGGGGAGACCUCAUCGCUCUCUCCAGCUCCCUGCAAGGAGGUUGUAGCCAGGUGGGGGGUUGGUCUAGUUGAAUUGACUUCAGUCUUUUUGUUCACACUUUCUUAAAAUGCAGCACUGAGGUGUUGUUUCUGUGCUUCAGACAUCUUGCAGUCCAGCCCUAGUGAGAUACCUGGCUGUGCCAUCCUGCUGACAAAAUAUGACCUGUGGAUGGACUUUGAGUCACCCUGCGCUCCUUGCUAUCUGUGCUGCUCUGCAAGAAAAGGGAACUCUGCAAGUGCUUUUUCUGGUGCAGCUUAGUUUACUCUCCUGUUUUGAGAGAGGCAGGGUCUAUAUUUGGGAAUAAGAAGUGUCAGAGUGUCUGCCAGAAAGAGCCUUAUGCUAUCCUGCCGGCACAAGGUUAUUGCCAAGGUUAUUGUUGCUUGUCCUAUUUUCAUUUAUUUCACAAAGCUGAGGAGCUGCACAGGUCUACGAGGCACUCUUAUUCUCCACCGAGGCCUUAUUUGCCCACUGAGCAGUUUGCAUGCAUUUCUAGUACAGCUAACGGUGAAGAUAAGAGAAGCUGACACAGAGGGACUCAUGAAAAACUUAUAAAACUUCUUCAGCCACUGCCAAACUAGCUGACUUAUGGCAGUCAGCUUUGGAUGUUUGAUUCCCACUGCCAUCCUGUUUUUUUUUUUCCCUUUUCAAAUUGGACCCCCUGUGUUUCACAGAUAAAUGUGAUUGUUGCUUGAAUGCAAAUAAUCCUUACACUAUCAUCAGUUGUUAACACUGAUAAUGUAUUUUUUUUUUUUUAAUUCUUUGUUCUCUUUCUCCCUGGCCAGGCUGAAUCAAGCACAUGGAUACGUUGUUCAAGGCAGUAGCCUGACUCUGUGUUUUCAGGACUCAGGUGUCAAACUUCUGGGUGAUAUUACACACUGACACUGUGUACAGACAAUGGCUGGGAGGAAUUUGAUGUGUUUGUAUGCUAUUCAAGUUUUUAAAACACAGCUACUGAUGUCUUGGUUAUGGAUUUCAAAGGAUCAUUGCUCUUAUGGCUUCCCAAGAGAAUGGUAGGAAGAUGUCAUACAGAGAGAGAUUGACUUGAUUGCAUGCGGCUGCUGAAAGAGAAGUGCAUGGCAAGUGAUGUAUACCAUAACUGUUCAAGUUAAAUUUUUUAUGUUUAUUUUAAAAUAUGAGGUACUUUAUAAAGAUGUUGCAGCAAAAAUAAAAGCUAUAAUUUGGAAAUUC